CCUACGGGGGGCAGCAGUAGGGAAUAUUGCUCAAUGGGGGAAACCCUGAAGCAGCAACGCCGCGUGGAGGAUGAAGGUUUUAGGAUUGGAAACUCCUUUUGUGAGAGACGAUUAUGACGGUAUCUAACGAAUAAGAACCGGCUAACUACGUGACAGCAGCCGCGGAAAUACGGAGGGUGCAGGCGUUAAUAGGAAUCACUGGGCGUAAAGAGUGCGGCGGCGGGGUAAUAAGUCAGAUGUGAAAUCCUGUAGCUUAACUACAGAAGUGCAUUUGAAACUGUUACUCUGGAGUGUGGGAGAGGUAGGUGGAAUUCUUGGUGUAGGGGUAAAAUCCGUAGAGAUCAAGAGGAAUACUCAUUGCGAAGGCGACCUGCUGGAACAUUACUGACGCUGAUGCACGAAAGCGUGGGGAGCAAACAGGAUUAGAUACCCGGGUAGUC
rnacentral:rRNA from 1 species